rnacentral:rRNA from 1 species
ACCCGCAACGACAUCGACGCGGGUGGAAAGGCUUUUGCGGUCAAGGAUGGGCUCGCGGCCUAUCAGCUAGUUGGUGAGGUAACGGCUCACCAAGGCGUCGACGGGUAGCCGGCCUGAGAGGGCGACCGGCCACACUGGGACUGAGAUACGGCCCAGACUCCUACGGGAGGCAGCAGUGGGGAAUAUUGCACAAUGGGCGAAAGCCUGAUGCAGCAACGCCGCGUGCGGGAUGACGGCCUUCGGGUUGUAAACCGCUUUCAGUAGGGACGAAGCGCAAGUGACGGUACCUACAGAAGAAGGACCGGCCAACUACGUGC